UUAAAACAGAACAAAAUAAUAAAAUGGUAAUGGAGAAAUUGGGAAUUAGGGUUAACGAUACCGAUUGGGAUGUCUCAGAAAUUCUCCUUCCUCGCUCGUGGUUGAAGACGGCGGCUUCCCUUUUGCUUCUCCGUCGAGCUCUCUUCGAUCAACCUCGAUUCUCCUCUCUUGCUCUCCGACGUCUCCUCUUACGAACGCCGCCGCACCGGUGAGUGCCUCCUAGAAGCGGUGUCUCCGAAAACUCAACCGAUGUCACCUCAGCCACCCUCCGUCUUCGACUCGUCUUCUCCUUCUAUUACUCAGUCGCGCAAAUUCGAUGAUGUCUAGAAGCCAUUAGCAACGGAAUCAGAAAUCCACCUUGGCGCGUCUCAGGACUGGUAUAUCGUUACACUUGCUUUACUUGCUGACCCGAUGUGAUCUGUGGAAUGAGGAGGUUUUUGGAUGAAUGCUAUGAUGGUGAUGGGUUAUCUUUGGAACGGAUGAUUGGUUAUUGAAAUGAGGUUCGACUGCAGGUCCGGACACAAGCUCAAGAUGCUAUGUUUUUGGAUUGAAAUUAGGUGCAAUGUAAGUGACUGCAUGCAUACUUUGUCUGCCAAUGUGAACGGGGUCCCUUGUAACUUGCAGUAGCUUUCUCUCAUUUUCUUCGUGCUUUUCGUCUUGGAUUAAGUUGAAAGGGUGUGGCUGCAGGUUUUUUGAAUUGGUAUGGUGUUGUUAGAAAGUCAGUUAUGAAUGUUAGUAAAAAGAAAUGGUUAUACUGUUAGGAUGUUAGGAAAAUAGAAGGAAGGUUAUAGGUUGUGGAUUGGUAUAUAGUCUG